rnacentral:rRNA from 1 species
GACGAACGCUGGCGGCGUGCUUAACACAUGCAAGUCGAACGGAAAGGCCCCUUCGGGGGUCCUCGAGUGGCGAACGGGUGAGUAACACGUGAGUAACCUGCCCUUGACUUCGGGAUAACUUCAGGAAACUGGGGCUAAUACCGGAUAGGAAUCCUUGCUGCAUGGUGGGGGUUGGAAAGCUUCGGCGGUUUUGGAUGGACUCGCGGCUUAUCAGCUUGUCGGUGGGGUAGUGGCUUACCAAGGCUUUGACGGGUAGCCGGCCUGAGAGGGCGACCGGCCACAUUGGGACUGAGAUACGGCCCAGACUCCUACGGGAGGCAGCAGUGGGGAAUAUUGCACAAUGGGCGGAAGCCUGAUGCAGCAACGCCGCGUGCGGGAUGACGGCCUUCGGGUUGUAAACCGCUUUCAGCAGGGGCGAAGCUUGUGGUGACGGUACCUGCAGAAGAAGCACCGGCUAACUACGUG